rnacentral:rRNA from 1 species
UACGAGGGGGGCAAAUGUUGUUCGGAAUCACUGGGCGUAAAGGGCGCGUAGGCGGUUUCUUAAGUUUGAAGUGACAGUGGGUGGCUUAACUACCCAAGGCCUUUGAAAACUGGGGAACUUGAGGACCAGAGAGGGACAUAGAAUUCCGGGUGGAGUGGUGAAAUGCGUAGAUAUCCGGAGGAAUACCAAAGGCGAAGGCAGUGUCCUGGAGGGUGACUGACGCUGAGGCGCGAAAGCUAGGGGAGCGAACGAG